rnacentral:tRNA from 1 species
CAGGGCAUAGCUCAGUGGUAGAGUGUUGUGCUUAACAUGCAUGAGGUCCUGGGUUCAAUCCCCAGGACCUUCA